rnacentral:SRP_RNA from 3 species
UGUUGGUUCUCCCGCAACGCUACUCUGUUUACCAGGUCAGGUCCGGAAGGAAGCAGCCAAGGCAGAUGACGCGUGUGCCGGGAUAUAGCUGGCAGGG